AUUGAACGCUGGCGGCAGGCCUAACACAUGCAAGUCGAGCGGAUGAAGGGAGCUUGCUCCUGGAUUCAGCGGCGGACGGGUGAGUAAUGCCUAGGAAUCUGCCUGGUAGUGGGGGAUAACGUCCGGAAACGGGCGCUAAUACCGCAUACGUCCUGAGGGAGAAAGUGGGGGGUCUUCGGACCUCACGCUAUCAGAUGAGCCUAGGUCGGAUUAGCUAGUUGGUGGGGUAAAGGCCUACCAAGGCGACGAUCCGUAACUGGUCUGAGAGGAUGAUCAGUCACACUGGAACUGAGACACGGUCCAGACCCCUACGGGAGGCAGCAGUGGGGAAUAUUGGACAAUGGGCGAAAGCCUGAUCCAGCCAUGCCGCGUGUGUGAAGAAGGUCUUCGGAUUGUAAAGCACUUUAAGUUGGGAGGAAGGGCAGUAAGUUAAUACCUUGCUGUUUUGACGUUACCAACAGAAUAAGCACCGGCUAACUUCGUG
rnacentral:rRNA from 1 species